AACACCUUGUAGAGUCAACAUGGGCCAGCAUCCCUGUGGAACGCUUUCAACUCCUUGUAGAGUCAACAUGGACCAGCAUCACCGUGGAACGCUUUCAACUCCUUGUAGAGUCAACAUGGGCCAGCAUCCCUGUGGAACGCUUUCAACUCCUUGUAGAGUUCAUGCCCUGAGAAUUUAGGCUGUUCUGAGGGCAAAAGGAGGUGCAACUCAAUAUUAGUAAGGUGUUCUUAAUGUUUUGUAUACUCAGUGUGUACUAUAAUGCAUUGUGCCUCUCAAGGGGGUGGAAACUGAGGCUAGACUGGGCCUGACUGAAGGCUGGCUGGCCUGAUGCAUUAUGACCUGAAGCUCACAGGCAUUUACAAUGCCCUCCACCAAUCCCCUGGCCUGUUACUGUUAGGUUGAAUGCCCUCCACCAAUCCCCUGGACUGUUACUGUUAGGUUGAAUGCCCUCCACCAAUCCCCUGGCCUGUUACUGUUAGGUUGAAUGCCCUCCACCAAUCCCCUGG
ensembl:lncRNA